rnacentral:tRNA from 1 species
AAUGAAGAGCCUGAUUAAAGGAUUAUCGUGAUAGGAUAAAAUAUGUAGUACAAAUUAAACUACCUUCAUUA